CACAAACCUCUAGUGUACGUUAAGACCCACAACAAUACGCAAAGCAACACUCAAGCUCCCACAUUUUUCAUCUCCCAACAAUAAUGAAGCCACAAGCUGAAGUUGUAGAAUAGUACCCUACGUCAACCGACUGAACAUCAUCUCACAUGAAAGGGGGCGUCCACCUGCGGUUUCCACAAAAACAAGGUUUGCCUCCUUUCUUUUUCUUUCAUUUACAAAUUGUUUGUAGACUCAUGUCCUGUCUACAAUCUAAUACAAACUAGUUUAAUUAACAAAAAUAAGGCCAUCAAUUAUCUUGACCACAUCUCUCUAUUCCUUGUUGGUUGUGACAUGCACAAGACAAAAUAGUCCAGUGAUUUCCUCCAUCUUCACAACUUCUUCACAGGUACAAAAAUUCAAAAUGCCUGCCGAGUAUAAAUUCUAAAUCGUUAUUUUAUCUUUUUUAAUGGUUAAUUAUAUGUAGAGGAUACACUUUUUAAUUAAUUAUUCAUUUAUAAUAGAUUAACAACUAUUAUGGGGGCGUUUGGUGCAAUCAAUGAUUUAUGAUAGUGCUAAUAUUAUAAUAGUUAGUAUUAUGAUAGUCUGUGUCUGGAGCUCAAACUAUUAUGGUAUGUGUUGUGAUAGUUUGCGUUUGGUGCGCAGACUAUUAUAGUAUCUUUUAGUAGUCUGCGUUUGAGGUGCAGACUAUGAUAGUCUAUAUGUUAUGAUACUCUGUGUUUGAGGUGCAGACUACCGUUAUCUGUGUUAUUAUAAACUGUUUUUGGUGUGCAGACUAUUACAACCUAGGUUUUUCGCAAUUUUUUUUUCUAAAAUAUAUAUUGGAGAUCCAAAACACAAUUUUUUUGUAAAUUGAUUUGAUUAUGAUAUUCAUUCAAUAUAUUUAGUAUCAAUCGUGAUGUUUCAUUUUUUCAUGCAUAUAUAUUGUACAUCGAAUUAAGUAAGCUUCUAAUUACGAUGUUCCUAGUAAUAAUUUAAGCUUUGAUCUUGUGUUUCCACUAAUUUUUCUCCAUGCAUAUAUAUUUUUCAUGAAAUGCAAUAUUUUUCUUAAAAGCAUUUUCCUUAAUCUUCUUAACUACGACGUUCAUUUCAUAGAUUAAAAUUGCUAUUAUUAAAUUGUUACUUUUCACCUCUUUUUUUUUUUUGCAUGCAUAUAUAUGGUACAACAAGCAUUUUCUUUUGCUUGUUGUGUGAUCUGGCAUUGAAAGACGCGUUAUGCAUAGUGGAAUUGAUGAAACUUAACAAUGGUGUUGAGACUACUCCAAAUGGCUACAACUCGGCAAAAGAGUGUGGUAAUCGCUUAAGCCAAGGAAGGAUACAAAGAUAAUGGAACUUGUAGGAUGAUCCUACAAGUUAAUGAUGCGGUGUGUUAAAGACACCCGACUCGAUGGAGCCUAUAGUGAGAAUAAGAGAGAUAGUUUUCCUUACAUUGUACCACAUAUCGAGGGCCAAUGUUGGUAAUGUAAUCAUGCGAACAAGAGCAAUUUUCACUCUGUUCGCCAAGCUUCGCGAGCGAGUCUUGUGUAGACAAGAAAAAGAAAGCAAUGUCGUAGAAUUUCGAGGAUGAAAUUUGAAAAAGGAGAGACUUGUUGUGAGGUCCUAAUCGCUUACCAUCAAUGUGAUAAAAACCCUGCGACAAGGACACUAAACGAAGAGAUUCUUGAUUAUAGAUUAUUUUUUGUAGAAGGAAUAUGCAUGAGGUCAUGACCCGGAGAAAGGACGUUCGGGUGAAGAGAAGUAUAGGACAUUUCGCGAGGGAACAUGCAAAGGGGAAGAAGGUGACGCAGAAAGAAGUGCUUAAGUCUAAGUUUCGUUGUGAGAAGGCAAUCAACGCGAUAAGAAUAAGUCCAUGAGGAAGGAGCAUGUGUUGGAUACCAAGAAUUAGACUUUUAGCAUAGUAAUGUGAGAAGAAGUGCCUACACUUAAGAAAGGAGGCGAGGAAGUUUCUUAUCAAGAUGACUCGAUCACUCAUUGAGAGGAAGUAAAUGUCUGCUGCUUCUCGAGAAUGUAAGAGGGUAAGGUUAUUUAAGUGUUUGGCUUCUCAAAGAGAUAAGGUGUGCGUCUCGAGGAAAAAGUUCAAUUGUCGUUAACGAAUAGCCCAUGUGUCAAGUUUAGGUUGGCUAUAUGGCACGGUAAGUCGGUAAGGAGACAUGUGUAAAGUGUUGAAAUGAUUUUUGGAUGUGGAAGGCCACUAUAAAAAGGGCAAAAAGGCCGAGAGGAAAAGACAGUUGUUUUCCGGAAGAGUUAGACUUUAUGAUGAAAGUGACAAGAAAAGUUUUGAGAGCUAAAUCGUAGACAAGGAAACCGCUAGACGAGAAGAAGAAUCCAACGACUGAAAAGAAAGGGGUUGAGGCUAAAGUAUAUCUAUGAGUGAUAAAACAACAUACGACAUGAUUAUUAAGCUAUUAUUUAUUGCUGAUUCUUUUUUGUUUUUGUUUAUGAGUUAUAAAUAAAUAUUGCGAGUACUUUGUCCUAGACAAAGGAGUAAAUUUGUAACAAUGUUUAUUUUUUAGUAUCUCUUGUAAGUAGAACAACUGUGAAUUUUUCAUCAAUGGAAGAAAGACUUUAUGAAUGAUUCCAUAUUUAUUUUA